rnacentral:rRNA from 1 species
GAUGAACGCUGGCGGCGUGCCUAAUACAUGCAAGUCGAGCGAACGGACGAGAAGCUUGCUUCUCUGAUGUUAGCGGCGGACGGGUGAGUAGCACGUGGAUAACCUACCUAUAAGACUGGGAUAACUUCGGGAAACCGUAGCUAAUGCCGGAUAAUAUUUUGAACCGCAUGGUUCAAAAGUGAAAGACGGUCUUGCUGUCACUUAUAGAUGGAUCCGCGCUGCAUUAGCUAGUUGGUAAGGUAACGGCUUACCAAGGCAACGAUGCAUAGCCGACCUGAGAGGGUGAUCGGCCACACUGGAACUGAGACACGGUCCAGACUCCUACGGGAGGCAGCAGUAGGGAAUCUUCCGCAAUGGGCGAAAGCCUGACGGAGCAACGCCGCGUGAGUGAUGAAGGUCUUCGGAUCGUAAAACUCUGUUAUUAGGGAAGAACAUAUGUGUAAGUAACUGUGCACAUCUUGACGGUACCUAAUCAGAAAGCCACGGCUAACUACGUG